rnacentral:rRNA from 1 species
UACGUAGGGGGCAAUCGUUGUCCGGAUUUAUUGGGCGUAAAGAGCGUGUAGGCGGUUAGGUAGGUCCGUUGUGAAAACUCGAGGCUCAACCUCGAGACGCCGAUGGAAACCAUCUGACUAGAGUCCGGAAGAGGAGAGUGGAAUUCCUGGUGUAGCGGUGAAAUGCGCAGAUAUCGGGAAGAACACCCGUGGCGAAGGCGGCUCUCUGGAACGCAACUGACGCUGAGACGCGAAAGCGUGGGGAGCAAACAGG